GCCAAGAAAAACAGAGCCCUUGCUCUAAAACCCUAAUUCGCUAUAUUCUACUCAAAAUCAAAGAGAGAAACAGAACUUAAAUCAGUUCUAACCUAAAUUCGUGAUCUUCAUACUUAGUAGAUCACAAGGAAAUUUGGGAGGACCAUCAAGUAAUCAAGGAGGAUCGGAUAACCGUUUGAAAGGAAAGCUUUAAAAGGUAACUGAAACGAACUUGCGGAUGAAGAUCAAGCAUUAUAGAAGAACCGAACAUGCGCGCAAAAGAAGCUUUCGCAAAAAUGAAAACUAUAACUUUUAUCACUAAAUACUUUGGUGUCGUUGUUAUCAAAUGUUUGUAAAUAUCGUAUCAAUGUUUUGCAAGUUAAGUAUGUGCUAGUAAACAAGAUGUUCUAAAUCUUUGUAAACUUCGU